CAAAUGUCACUAGCUCAGAGUUCAAGGGUGAUGGUUUUCCUUCAGUGAAUUGCAGCUACUCAAGCCAUGAAAGCUAGUGGCACAUACAUUCUUGCCUGCCUUCUUCAUAUUUUGAAUUCACUAAGUGAACUGUACGUCUCAUACAUAAAUCCUUCUGCCACCUUUGGUGACAGUGGAGCGGAUUCAACAGAGGAGAGCAUUUGUUGCACAGCAACACAAGGCACAAGGCCAUCAGAGGGCAACAGCUCAGGGGAGGGAGGUCAAGCAUUGGCAAUCUGGGAUGUGUCAACAUUGCCAAAGAGUAUUGAUGGAUCAGAGCAUGUUCAAAGUACCCAUCAACAACUUUCAGGCAUUUGAGAAGAAAUACCAGAGCCAGCAAAGGCUUUCAUGGAAGCUCCAUGUGAUCCUACAAGACCUUGGCUUUGAAAGGAUCUUAUGAGUUGCAAUCAAGGUAACUGCAGCCGAAAUUUCUAAGUCAGUGGCUUAUUCUAAAACUCAUACAUCAGCUGAGGGAAAAUGAUAACCUAUAGCCAGCAGACAUUUCCUGGCAUGAAGAUUUAGGUCUGCAGGAUCAAUUCUAAGGAUAGCCAUGGUAACACUUCUGAUAGGUUUAUCCUGCCAAUGUGAUGGGACACAUUCAGAGCUGAUGAAAUAAAAGGCUGGGAUUUUGGCUUAGAGGUAUGAUUCUGUAUAUGUAUCUACAUCAGGCUAUUGCUCAAUUAAUCUUGGGGGGGAAUAGGUGUCCAGAUUUUGACAUUAAUCCUCACACAGUAACGAAGAGGACCUAAGAGGACUGGGCUAGGUUUGCAUUUGACCAGUUAAGAACAGCAGAUGCCCUUCCCCAAAAAUGCAUAAAUUGAACCAGUUGUGUUUUUAUGACAACGCUGGUCACUAUUACAAAUAAUAGCUUUCAACUUCAGAUUUGUUUCAUAAAAAGAAUUUAAAAUCCAGAACUGCUCAAUCAGAUUUGUGGUCUUUCUACAAAUUAUUGGUUCAAGCUUCUGGAUUACUAAUCUAGGAACAAAAUCACAAUACUACUGUAAUCUCCUUUCAGACCAGUAUAUUAAAAGCAGAUGGACAGAGGUAACAAUACCAUCUUUGGACUCAGCAGCCUGUGAUUUUCCAUCCAGUGACUUUAGCUCACUGACAAGUUGCAGAGUGGAAAUGUUACUUCAGUGUCUGGGAAUGUUAUAUACUGUUGUCGACACUGGAUUUAAGAAGCUGCUGUCAACGGGUGUCUUACAAUCUUUGUUAAUGAACCAAUCAAAGAGAAUCAGUUCUGUCAGCUGCACUCUUGAAAAGCACUAUGAAUUCAUUCUCCUCACAUGAACAGAAAAUCAUGUAAGGACUGCUGAACUCUAUUUCCAAAUUUCCAAUGUACUUCCAAAAGGCAAUGCUUGGCGUGGAAAUAUGCCCUUUAAAUGUUCUAUGAGAUUUUGGUACAGGGAUAGAAAUGCAUUCCUUUUCUAAUGUGCCUCCAAAUUUCCAUAGUCGAGUGUCAUCAGGAAUGGCUCCAGCCCGAAACGUCGAUUCUCCUGCUCCUUGGAAGCUUCCUGACCUGCUGUGCUUUUCCAGCAACACACUCCCGACUCUGAUCUCCAACAUAAGACCUCAUUUUCUCCAACUUUCCAUAGUCAUGUGACAUCUACCAUGAGGCAUUCUAUUGAAGCAUCCUUCUUACAGACAGAUUAAUUACAAAGUAUCAAAAGGCUCAAUACAAGCAAAACUGCUGUCCUGUGAACUUGGGAAAGUCACUAAGGAUGCACCAUUAUUUUUGAAUUGGAAGAUAUCUCAGAACAAUUUCCAUAACUUUCAGGGGUAUGGACAAACUGACAACACCAACAGUUGUUGCCCAUUCCUAGUUGCACUGUUCAAAGUGGUGCUGAGCUGCCUUCUUAAUGUUCUGCAGUUCAUGCAAUGAACAGUACAAGGGAGGGAGUGACAGGAUUUUAACAAAGCGACUGUGAAAGGAAGACAACAUAAUUCCAAGUCAGGAUGUGUCUGCUUUGAACCUCCACACUGAAUUUCAAGUAAUUUAAUGUCGCCUUGACACUUCACCCCCAUUGGUUACUUUAGUUUGAAGCUUGAUACAGGCUGAACAACAUUUGUGCUCAUCAGAAGCCAUUACCUUUGAAGUCCAGCCAUCUUUCAACUGACCAGAUUUUCCACAUUGCCAAAGGCUUGCUCCCAACAAAAGGCACAGCAAUUAGGUUAAAAAAAAUCCAAUGAACUUACGGAGGUU